rnacentral:rRNA from 1 species
UACGAAGGGGGCUAGCGUUGCUCGGAAUUACUGGGCGUAAAGGGCGCGUAGGCGGACAGUUUAGUCAGAGGUGAAAGCCCAGGGCUCAACCCUGGAAUUGCCUUUGAUACUGGCUGUCUUGAGUACGGGAGAGGUGUGUGGAACUCCGAGUGUAGAGGUGAAAUUCGUAGAUAUUCGGAAGAACACCAGUGGCGAAGGCGACACACUGGCCCGUUACUGACGCUGAGGCGCGAAAGCGUGGGGAGCGAACG